rnacentral:tRNA from 3 species
GCCGAAGUGGUGGAAUUGGUAGACACGCUAUCUUGAGGGGGUAGUGGCCAACGGCUGUAUGGGUUCGAGUCCCAUCUUCGGCA